rnacentral:rRNA from 1 species
GGCGCGGCGCCGGUCUAAGUCUCUUGGAACGGGGCGUCGUAGAGGGUGAGAAUCCCGUAUGCGACCGCCGACCAAGGCCAUGUGAAACUCCUUCGACGAGUCGAGUUGUUUGGGAAUGCAGCUCAAAAUGGGUGGUAAAUUCCAUCUAAAGCUAAAUACCGGCCAGAGACCGAUAGCGCACAAGUAGAGUGAUCGAAAGAUGAAAAGCACUUUGGAAAGAGAGUCAAAAAGUACGUGAAAUUGUUGAAAGGGAAGCGCUUGCAACCAGACCUGCGCGCGGGCGAUCAACCGUCCUUCUGGGCGGUGCACUUGUCCGCGAUCAGGCCAGCAUCGGUUCUGGCGGCCGGAUAAAGGCCUUGGGAACGUAGCUCCCCUCGGGGAGUGUUAUAGCCCUUGGUGUAAUGCGGCCAGCCGGGACCGAGGACCGCGCUUCGGCUAGGAUGCUGGCGUAAUGGUUGUAAGCGGCCCGUCUUGAAACACGGACCAAGGAGUCUAACAUCUAUGCGAGUGUUUGGGCGUGAAACCCAUACGCACAAUGAAAGUGAACGGAGGUGGGAACCCGCGAGGGCGCACCAUCGACCGAUCCAGAUGUCUUCGGAUGGAUUUGAGUACGAGCAUAGCUGUUGGGACCCGAAAGAUGGUGAACUAUGCCUGAAUAAGGUGAAGCCAGAGGAAACUCUGGUGGAGGCUCGCAGCGGUUCUGACGUGCAAAUCGAUCGUCAAAUUUGGGUAUAGGGGCGAAAGACUAAUCGAACCAU